UACGGAGGGUGCAAGCGUUAUCCGGAUUCACUGGGUUUAAAGGGUGCGUAGGAGGGCAGGGAAGUCAGUGGUGAAAUCCCGGGGCUUAACCCCGGAACUGCCGUUGAUACUCUCUGUCUUGAAUGCCGUGGAGGUGAGCGGAAUAUGUCAUGUAGCGGUGAAAUGCUUAGAGAUGACAUAGAACACCGAUUGCGAAGGCAGCUCGCUACACGAACAUUGACUCUGAGGCACGAAAGCGUGGGGAUCAAACAGG
rnacentral:rRNA from 1 species